rnacentral:rRNA from 1 species
UACGUAGGGUGCGAGCGUUAAUCGGAAUUACUGGGCGUAAAGCGGGCGCAGGCGGUUUUGUAAGCCAGAUGUGAAAUCCCCGGGCUUAACCUGGGAAUGGCAUUUGGGACUGCAAGGCUGGAGUUUGGCAGAGGAGACUGGAAUUCCCGGUGUAGCAGUGAAAUGCGUAGAUAUCGGGAGGAAUACCGAUGGCGAAGGCAGGUCUCUGGGCUAUAACUGACGCUCAUGCACGAAAGCGUGGGGAGCAAACAGG